rnacentral:rRNA from 1 species
AGAACGAACGUUGGCGGCGUGGAUUAGGCAUGCGAGUCGAGGGAAUCCCCAGCAAUGGGGGGAACCGGCGUAAGGGGCAGUAGGGCGUGGGCAACCUACCCCGGGGUCUGGCAUAGCCCGUCGAGAGACGGGGUAAUUCCAGGCGACAUCCCGGCGGGGCAUCCCGUCGGGAUCACAGGUCCGCCGUCCCGGGCGGGGCCCACGUGAUAUUAGCUGGUUGGUGGGGUAACGGCCCACCGAGGCAUAGAUGUCUAGCGGGUGUGAGAGCACGACCCGCGCCACUGGCACUGAGACACUGGCCAGACACCUACGGGUGGCUGCAGUCGAGGAUCUUCGGCAAUGGGGGCAACCCUGACCGAGCGACGCCGCGUGUGCGACGAAGGCCUUCGGGUUGUAAAGCACUGUCGAGGGGAGGAAAGCCCGCGAGGUGUGACCUAUCCCUGGAGGAAGCACGGCUAAGUUCGUGCCGAGCAGCCGC